rnacentral:rRNA from 1 species
GACGAACGCUGGCGGCGUGCUUAACACAUGCAAGUCGAACGGAAAGGCCCUGCUUUUGUGGGGUGCUCGAGUGGCGAACGGGUGAGUAACACGUGAGUAACCUGCCCUUGACUUUGGGAUAACUUCAGGAAACUGGGGCUAAUACCGGAUAGGAGCUCCUGCUGCAUGGUGGGGGUUGGAAAGUUUCGGCGGUUGGGGAUGGACUCGCGGCUUAUCAGCUUGUUGGUGGGGUAGUGGCUUACCAAGGCUUUGACGGGUAGCCGGCCUGAGAGGGUGACCGGCGACAUUGGGACUGAGAUACGGCCCAGACUGCUACGGGAGGCAGCAGUGGGGAAUAUUGCACAAUGGGCGGAAGCCUGAUGCAGCAACGCCGCGUGCGGGAUGACGGCCUUCGGGUUGUAAACCGCUUUCGCCUGUGACGAAGAGUGAGUGACGGUAAUGGGUAAAGAAGCACCGGCUAACUACGUG